GACGAACGCUGGCGGCGUGGAUUAGGCAUGCAAGUUGAGCGACAGACAGACUUCGGUCUGUUAUGGAGCAGCGAACGGGUGAGUAACACGUGAACAAUCUGUCCCUACAUUCCGGAUAAUUGGCCGAAAGGCCUUGUAAUACGGGGGAGGAUCCCGAGGGAGCAUUCUUUUGGGAGGGAAGGCGCAAGCCGUGCAGGGAGGAGUUCGCGGCCUAUCAGUUAGUUGGUGGGGUAAUGGCCACCAAGACGACGACGGGUAGCUGGUCUGAGAGGAUGGUCAGCCACAUUGGAACUGAGACACGGCCCAGACUCCUACGGGAGGCAGCAGUGGGGAAUUUUGGACAAUGGGGGCAACCCUGAUCCAGCCAUGCCGCGUGAGUGAAGAAGGCCU
rnacentral:rRNA from 1 species